rnacentral:rRNA from 1 species
GAUGAACGCUGGCGGCGUGCCUAAUACAUGCAAGUCGAGCGAACGGACGAGAAGCUUGCUGCUCUGAUGUUAGCGGCGGACGUGUGUGUAACACGUGUAUAACCUACCUAUAUGACUGGGAUAACCGCGGGAAACCGGAGCUUAUCCCGUAGAAUAUUUUGAACCGCAUGGUUCAAAAGUGAAAGACGGUCUUGCUGGCACUUAUAGAUGGAUCCGCGCUGCAUUAGCUAGUUGGUAAGGUAACGGCUUACCAAGGCAACGAUGCAUAGCCGACCUGAGAGGGUGAUCGGCCACACUGGAACGGAGACACGGUCCAGACUCCUGCGGGAGGCAGCAGUAGGGAAUCUUCCGGAAUGGGCGAAAGCAUGACGGAGCAAGGACGCGUGAGUGAUGAAGGUCUUGGGAUCGUAAAACUCUGUUAUUAGGGAAGAACAUAUGUGUAAGUAACUGUGCACAUCUUGACGGUACCUAAUCAGAAAGCAACGGCUAGCUACGUG